CUGAGAGUUGGGGACCCUCUGUCUUGGGGUGUCUUAGGUGAGUCUGGGACCCUCUGUCUGGGGGUAUUUCUCAGGUGAGUCUGGGACCCUCUGUCUGGGGGUGUCUUAGGUGAGUUUGGGACCCUCUGUCUGGGGGUAUUUCUUAGGUGAGUCUGGGACCCUCUGUCUGGGGGUAUUUCUCAGGUGAGUCUGGGACCCUCUGUCUGG
rnacentral:lncRNA from 1 species